rnacentral:misc_RNA from 1 species
UAAUAAGUGUUUAUGGCACUUUUUAAAUCCAUAUCCACCUUGUGUGCAAUGUCAGUCGAUCUUCUUCAUGGAGAGCGACCAAACAUCAACCUUUAUCUUUUAACUCUUUGUCUGAAAAUAUUAUGAAUAAACAAUUCAAAUA